rnacentral:misc_RNA from 1 species
AAGGAUCAUUAAAGAGUUAGGGUCUUCUGGGCCCCAUCUCCAACCCCAUGUUUAAUUACCAUGUUGCUUUGGCGGGUCCGUCUCACGACCGUCGAAAAGUCUUUAGGCUUUUUGACCUGUGCCCGCCAGUAGCCUUCUACAAAUUCUUGACCAAUUGUGAUGUCUGAGUAAUCAAAACUUAAUAGUUAAAACUUUCAACAACGGAUCUCUUGGUUCUG